AACGAACGCUGGCGGCAGGCCUAACACAUGCAAGUCGAACGGGAUCUUCGGAUCUAGUGGCGACGGGUUGUAACGCGUGGGAACGUACCCUUUCUACGGAAUAGCCUCGGGAAACUGAGAGUAAUACCGUAUACGCCCUUCGGGGGAAAGAUUUAUCGGAGAAGGAUCGGCCCGCGUAAGAUUAGAUAGUUGGUGGGGUAAUGGCCUACCAAGUCUACGAUCUUUAGCUGGUUUGAGAGGAUGAUCAGCAACACUGGGACUGAGACACGGCCCAGACUCCUACGGGAGGCAGCAGUGGGGAAUCUUAGACAAUGGGGGAAACCCUGAUCCAGCCAUGCCGCGUGAGUGACGAAGGCCUUAGGGUCGUAAAGCUCUUUCGCUGGGGAAGAUAAUGACUGUACCCCGUAAAGAAACCCCGGCUAACUCCGUG
rnacentral:rRNA from 1 species